ensembl:lncRNA
UUUUAUUAUAGGGUGUUCAUCUGAUAUGAUUCAACCCCUCUCCAAUACAGUUUUAUUAUAGGGUGUUCAUCUGAUAUGAUUCAACCCCUCUCCAAUACAGUUUUAUUAUAGGGUGUUCAUCUGAUAUGAUUCAACCCCUCUCCAAUACAGUUUUAUUAUAGGGUGUUCAUCUAAAUGAUUCAACCCCUCUUCAAUACAGUUUUAUUAUAGGGUGUUCAUCUAAAUGAUUCAACCCCUCUCCAAUACAGUUUUAUUAUAGGGUGUUCAUCUAAAUGAUUCAACCCCUCUCCAAUACAGUUUUAUUAUAGGGUGUUCAUCUGAUAUGAUUCAACCCCUCUCCAAUACAGUUUUAUUAUAGGGUGUUCAUCUGAUAUGAUUCAACCCCUCUCCAAUACAGUUUUAUUAUAGGGUGUUCAUCUAAAUGAUUCAACCCCUCUCCAAUACAGUUUUAUUAUAGGGUGUUAAUCUGAUAUGAUUCAACCCCUCUCCAAUACUGCCAUGGGUGUCUCAGUGCAGUCCAGCCUAAGCAUAGCAUCAGUAGAGUCCUGCUCUACGGUUAAACUACACUAUAUUACAGACAUGCAUGAAGCAAAAAGGAUAAUCACACUUACGAUGAUUAACCAAUGACAGCAAACAUGUACCGUAAAGCCACGCCUCCCCCCCAAUGAUAGCAAACAUGUACCGUAAAGCCACGCCUCCCCCAAUGACAGCAAACAUGUACCGUAAAGCCACGCCCCCCCAAUGAUAGCAAACAUGUACCGUAAAGCCACGCCUCCCCCCUCCCCCAGCUACCACAUUUACAUGCCAUUCCUGUGCAUGUUAACCUGGUUCACACUAUCGGAAAAAAACAAGCUAAGCCCUUCCUUAGCUGAACUAGGCUGGUCUAGGGUGGUCUGGUUAAAUAUCUAGCAGCUGAACUAGGCUGGUCUAGGGUGGUCUGGUUAAACAUCUACCAGCUGAACUAGGCUGGUCUAGGGUGGUCUGGUUAAACAUCUACCAGCUGAACUAGGUUGGUGUAGGGUGGUCUGGUUAAACAUCUACCAGCUGGACUAGGCUGGUCUAGGGUGGUCUGGUUAAACAUCUACCAGCUGAACUAGGUUGGUGUAGGGUGGUCUGGUUAAACAUCUACCAGCUGAACUAGGUUGGUGUAGGGUGGUCUGGUUAAACAUCUACCAGCUGGACUAGGCUGGUCUAGGGUGGUCUGGUUAAACAUCUACCAGCUGAACUAGGUUGGUGUAGGGUGGUCUGGUUAAACAUCUACCAGCUGAACUAGGUUGGUGUAGGGUGGUCUGGUUAAACAUCUACCAGCUGGACUAGGUUGGUGUAGGGUGGUCUGGUUAAACAUCUACCAGCUGAACUAGGUUGGUGUAGGGUGGUCUGGUUGAACAUCUACCAGACCCAUGUUCUACCAGAUUAGUCCUCCUAUAGUACCAUGUUCUACCAGAUUAGUCCUCCUAUAGUACCGUGUUCUACCAGAUUAGUCCUCCUAUAGAACCAUGUUCUACCAGGUUAGUCCUCCUAUAGUACCAUGUUCUACCAGAUUAGUCCUCCUAUUGUACCAUGUUCUACCCAGAUUAGUCCUCUUAUAGAACCAGACCCCAUGUUCUACCAGAUUAGUCCUCCUAUAGUACCAUGUUCUACCAGAUUAUUCCUCCUAUUGUACAGUGUUCUACCAGAUUAGUCCUCCUUUAGUUCCAGACCCCAUGUUCUACCAGGUUAGUCCUCCUAUUGUACCAUGUUCUACCAGAUUAGUCCUCCUAUAGUACCAUGUUCUACCAGAUUAGUCUUCCUAUAGUACCAUGUUCUACCAGAUUAGUCCUCCUAUAGUACCAUGUCCUACCAGAUUAGUCCUCCUAUAGUACCAUGUUCUACCAGAUUAGUCCUCCUACAGUACCAUGUUAUACCAGAUUAGUCCUCCUAUAGUACCAGACCCCAUGUUCUACCAGAUUAGUCCUCCUAUAGUACCAUGUUCUACCAGAUUAGUCCUCCUAUCGUACCAUGUUCUACCCAGAUUAGUCCUCCUAUUGUACCAUGUUCUACCCAGAUUAGUCCUCUUAUAGAACCAGACCCCAUGGUCUACCAGAUUAGUCCUCCUAUAGUACCAUGUUCUACCAGAUUAGUCCUCCUAUUGUACCAUGUUCUACCAGAUUAGUCCUCCUAUAGUACCAUGUUCUACCCAGAUUAGUCCUCCUAUAGAACCAUGUUCUACCAGAUUAGUCCUCCUAUAGUACCAUGUUCUACCAGAUUAGUCCUCCUAUAGUACCAGACCCCAUGUUCUACCAGAUUAGUCCUCCUUUAGAACCAUGUUCUACCAGAUUAGUCUUCCUAUAGUACAAUGUUCUACCAGAUUAGUCCUCCUAUAGUACCAUGUUCUACCAGAUUAGUCCUCCUAUAGUACCAGACCCCAUGUUCUACCAGAUUAGUCCUCCUAUAGUACCAUGUUCUACCAGAUUAGUCCUCCUAUAGAACCAUGUUCUACCAGAUUAGUCCUCCUAGGUAUUGGAUGAAAUAAAAACCAUAUCUAGUAUGUAUGGGGCUGUGUGGAAACAGUGGAUUAUCUAGUAUGUAUGGUGCUGUGUGGAAACAGUGGAUUACCUAGUAUGUAUGGUGCUGUGUGGAAAAACGGGAUUAUCUAGUAUGUAUGGUGCUGUGUGGAAACAGGGGAUUAUCUAGUAUGUAUGGUGCUGUGUGGAAACAGGGGAUUAUCUAGUGUGUAUGGUGCUGUGUGGAAACUGUAGGUUAUCUAGUAUGUAUGGUGCUGUGUGGAAACAGUGGAUUACCUAGUAUGUAUGGUGCUGUGUGGAAACAGGGAUUAUCUAGUAUGUAUGGUGCUGUGUGGAAACAGGGGAUUAUCUAGUAUGUAUGGUGCUGUGUGGAAACAGUGGAUUAUCUAGUAUGUAUGGUGCUGUGUGGAAACAGGGAUUAUCUAGUAUGUAUGGUGCUGUGUGGAAACAGUGGAUUAUCUAGUAUGUAUGGUGCUGUGUGGAAACUGUGGGUUAUCUAGUAUGUAUGGUGCUGUGUGGAAACAGUGGAUUAUCUAGUAUGUAUGGUGCUGUGUGGAAACAGUGGAUUAUCUAGUGUGUAUGGUGCUGUGUGGAAACAGUGGAUUAUCUAGUAUGUAUGGUGCUGUGUGGAAACAGUGGAUUAUCUAGUAUGUAUGGUGCUGUGUGGAAACAGUGGAUUAUCUAGUAUGUAUGGUGCUGUGUGGAAACAGUGGAUUAUCUAGUGUGUAUGGUGCUGUGUGGAAACAGUGGAUUAUCUAGUGUGUAUGGUGCUGUGUGGAAACUGUGAGUCGUAGGAGCCUUUCAGUUGAAGAAAGAAUCCAUAAUGCCAGAUCUAGAUUUACCUCAAUUGUCCUGCCAGAUUAUGAAUUUAUUUAAAUGUUUAUCUUUAAAAAAAAAAAUAUUAACAUCAGGACAUCAGGGUACUCAGGCAGACGGGAUAGUUCUUCCUCAUUUGAUAAUGUUUUUAGAGUACAGUUGGCCAAAGCUCGAGACAGAUCUGUUCUUUUUAACUUGUAAACCAAUCAAGGGACCAAAGGUAGUGUUUUUUUUUUUUUAGAGCCUAUGUUUUGAUAAGCGUUUUGGCUACGUGCACAAAAGGUGGUGUGACGAUGACUAUGUCACAGUCCCAAAUGGCACCCUAUUCCCUACAAAGUGCACUACUUUUAGUGCACUAUAUAGGGGAUAGGGUGCCACCUGGGAUACAGAUCCUAUGCUAGAAGACACUCCCAAUAUACUGUAUAGUCCAAUAUGUGGAAAAAGCACCGUUUCUGAGGGUAGAAUUCACAUCUUUGGAUAACUUUUCAAAACAAACGAUGUGGUACCAUAUGUCAGCGUAUAUACUGUGUUGAUCAUGACAUCAUGAUGAUUGACAUGCGAUAUGGGGGGGGGGACCAAUGAGAAAAGGUUUAGUUGGAAGCUUUUGGGAUUUGUUAACCAUUUAUACCACAACAUGUUUUCCUGCGAUGGGGAUGAGUUGAUGUGUCUGUUUCGUUUAUGAAGUCGGAAAUAUGUAUAAAUAUAAUUUAUAUAUAUAUAUAUAUAUAUAUAUAUAUAUAUAUAUAUAUAUAUAUUUGAUUUCUUAAAAACCUUAACCCAAUGCUUAAUUAUAUAAAUCACCUACGUUGGUCCUACUGACACUGACAUUUGUAUUUUCUUAUCAAGGUUGUGAGAAAAAAUAAAAUAUAUGUAUUAUAUAUUUUUUUGUCUCUACACUUCUAUAACUGUAUCUUAUUCCAUACCAGAAUGAAGCGAUGUAUUGGAUAGCUCUGGUCCACGGUGUUACCACACGUCCCUCCAUGAAGACAUAUAUAUAUAUAAUGCCCUGGACCAGAGCUAUGUAUUGGAUAGCUCUGGUCCACGGUGUUACCACACGUCCCUCCAUGAAGACAUAUAUAUAUAUAUAUAAUGCCCUGGACCAGAGCUAUGUAUUGGAUAGCUCUGGUCCACGGUGGUACCACACGUCCCUCCAUGAAGACAUAUAUAUAUAUAUAAUGCCCUGGACCAGAGCUAUGUAUUGGAUAGCUCUGGUCCACGGUGUUACCACACGUCCUUCCAUGAAGACAUAUAUAUAAUGCCCUGGACCAGAGCUACGUAUUGGAUAGCUCUGGUCCACGGUGUUACCACACGUCCUUCCAUGAAGACAUAUAUAUAUAUAAUGCCCUGGACCAGAGCUAUGGUUAUGGGCCCGAUAGGGCCCAGGUCAACAGUAGUGCACUAUGUAGGGAAUAGGAUGCCGUUUGAGAUACAUCCUAUGUCUUUUAAACUAAAAGCAAUGAUUUAUACAGUACAAAGUGUUAUUGCGAUUUUAACUACUGAUAUGUAAAUUACCUGCUAUGAGUGCACAAGUCAUUUAAUAAAUUAUUAAAAUGUUAUUGAACCUAAAUAAGGUGUUUAAAUAUAUUUUUUUAUAUUCGUUGCAUAAAAGAUUCUGUUCUGUUAGAAACACGUCAUUACGAAGCUUCCUUCAUUUUGGUCAUGUCUCGAUUGGCACCCUAUUCCCUUUAUAGUGCACUACUUUGGACCAGGACCUGCAUAGAGAAUAGGGUGCCAGGGCCCAUAGGGUUCUGAUCUAAAGUAGUGCACUAUAUAGGGAAUAGGGUGCCAGGGGCCAUAGGGAUCUGGUCUAAAGUAGUGCACUAUAUAGGGAA